rnacentral:misc_RNA from 1 species
GAUGAAGAACGCAGCGAAAUGCGAUAGGUAAUGUGAAUCGCAGAAUUCAGUGAAUCAUCGAAUCUUUGAACGCACAUUGCGCCCUUUGGUAUUCCUUAGGGCAUGCCUGUUCGAGCGUCACUACACACCUUAUCACAAUAUUUGUGGUCUUGGCAGGAGUGAAUUGCUGGUCUAUGGAAGUAUUCCAGCAGUACACAAUGCUAAAAAAUAUGGGAAGGUUACCAGAUAUGAACAACAGACUUUGUAAAUGGUUGUAGGACCUAGAUCAGUCACAAGUCAUGUCUGGUCCCUUACCUUAAGGACCCCCAUCCUAGAUGAACUAUGGGUUGACCUCGGAUCAGGUAGGAAUACCCGCUGAACUUAAGCAUAUCAAUAAGCGGAGGA